GAUUAGAUGAUUCGUGCCGGACUGUCCAUUGUACCUUAUGACAAAAGCAGCAAGCUUUAUUUGCAAUAACAUAUAAACCUUUUUUACAUAAUGUAAAUGCAGAAAAAUCUCCUGCACAUUUCUACAUCCUCAGGAUUUUUUCUGAAUCCCUCAAUUAGUAGAUAUCAGGCCAUUUUUAAAGACAUGUAUUCAUCAUACAUACAGAGAUUUUAAGCAACGGCAAAUGGCAGGUUGAAAGCAACCAGAGAUCGCAGAAUUAGUACCAUCAGACGCCUUAUUUACAUUUCUCAACAAAUUAAUGAACAGGAUUUACAAUAUAAUGAUGAUACAAUUCAAAAGAAUUCCAGGUACAAAGCCUGGCGAAACUGUGAAAAAUUGUAACCUUGAAACGAGAGGCCUACGUGAUGAAAACAAGUGCGAUCCAGGCAUGAUCGACGAUACGCCAUAAACAAAAUUCCUAAGCGCGGAGCGCCAGCAAAGAACACAGAAACGUAGCGCGAUCAAUCAAAUGAAAAUUCCUUGCUACGACAAUUAUUCGCACGAACAAAUGCAAAAAUAAAUCAGCCAAGAAUUAAUCACCCAGCCCAAGAAGACGAAACGGUUCAUUCUUCCAUUCAAGACUGAAAAACAACCCGGCUUCCGGCUUUAAUCUGGUUAACGGACGUUAAACAAAAUUACAAUUUCCGAGGAAUUCGACAUGCGAAUUACCGCAGGAAUAACACAGGGAAAACGGUACGGAACUCGUCCGUAUAAAAAAAAUACAAAUAUAAUAAACGCCACGUGGAGACAAA